AUACUACUCCCUCCGUUCGGAAUUACUUGUCGCGGAAAUGAAGAUACAUCCAUUUCCGCGACAAGUAAUUCCGAACGGAGGGAGUAGAAG
rnacentral:pre_miRNA from 1 species